AAGGAUCAUUACUGAGUGAGGGUCCCUCGGGGCCCAACCUCCCACCCGUGUAUACCGUACCUUGUUGCUUCGGCGAGCCCGCCCCCUUUUUCUUAGGGGGGCACAGCGCUCGCCGGAGACACCAACGUGAACACUGUCUGAAGUUUUGUCGUCUGAGUCGAUUGUAUCGCAAUCAGUUAAAACUUUCAACAAUGGAUCUCUUGGUUCCGGCAUCGAUGAAGAACGCAGCGAAAUGCGAUAAUUAAUGUGAAUUGCAGAAUUCAGUGAAUCAUCGAGUCUUUGAACGCACAUUGCACCCCCUGGUAUUCCGGGGGGUAUGCCUGUCCGAGCGUCAUUGCUGCCCUCAAGCACGGCUUGUGUGUUGGGUCGUCGUCCCCCCCGGGGGACGGGCCCGAAAGGCAGCGGCGGCACCGCGUCCGGUCCUCGAGCGUAUGGGGCUUUGUCACACCGCUCUUGUAGGCCCGGCCGGCUGCUGGCCGACGCUGAAAAGCAACCAACUAUUUCUCCAGGUUGACCUCGGAUCAGGUAGGGAUACCCGCUGAACUUAAGCAUAUCAAUAAGCGGAGGAAAAGAA
rnacentral:rRNA from 1 species